GUGUCAGAUCCAGGAGACUAAGCUCAAACACAGGAAACACCGGAUGAAGUUUGAAAACCAGCUCCAGCAGCUGAUAGAGCUGCAUAAGAACCUGCACUCUGUCUUUAGCCCAGACAGACUGCCUGCUGAAAUAGAGAGCGUUGAAAACGCCAAGUCUCAGCUGCUGAAGGCUGAACAGCUGAAGUUGUCUCAGCUCUGCCAUCUAGAGGAGGCGCUGGAUGAGGCCAGGAGGCAGACUUCGACUGACACAGCAGACAAACACACAGACUGAACCCUGGAACUGUACACUGUAAAAACGACCACUGUGUACAAUUACAGAUAUUACCAUGGCUCAUAGUUAGAGAGGGUUCCGUGGGUAGAAGCAAAGUUGUGAAUGUUUUGUGAUUGUUCUUCUUCCCUUGAUGUUGUGUAUUGAGGUCCCCUGUUUGAUGUUGUGGUUCUGAAUCAUUUGUACAUCAUUCUUUAUUAAUUAUUUAUUUGCUGCUGAGCAGUCUGCUUUUAAACAGAUUAAAUACAGUUGUCUAUGCUGGUUGAGGGCUACGUGUUUGUGGAUUGAGAGUCUCACACGGAUAAGAAUAAACAUCACCAACAUGAAUGCAACACAGACAGUCACCAGUGGUGUAAAGUACUUAAGUAAAAAUACUUUAAAGUACUACU